CCUGGCUGAAACAAUUUUUUUGUACAAGUCUAAUUAUGCUACAUAAUUUGUAUACUCAAAUCGUUACUUUUUGUAAAAAGACUUCAUUCAGUGUAUAUACAAAGCUCAGCACCCAACAGUACUAAGUGACCUGCUUUUCAUUCACAACCUGGGUGCAGUCAUUAAAACUAUUAAUAGAUAGUGGUACUUCCAUACUAUAUGUGUCACUGGGUGUCCUCUCCUGUUAAAGCAAGUUGUUUUGUAGUGCAGCUCAUUCAGUACGGUUGUGUACAUACAUUUGAUGAGGAAGCCUUUCUGUAACAAGGGGCCUGGUUAAGGAG